CCUGAGCCCGCCGACGUCUCCGGGUUCAGUUACGUUACCGUGGAGAGUCCACAUCCAGGUGCCGGAAUUUUAACCGGCUUCCCUUUCGACGGGUGAUGCGUAAUACAUACUUUAAAACGGAGUUUCCCUAUGCCUUAGGAUCGACUAACCCAUGUCCAACUGCUGUUCACAUGGAACCUUUCCCCACUUCAGUCCUCAAAGUUCUCAUUUGAGUAUUUGCUACUACCACCAAGAUCUGCACUAGGGGCCGUUCGACCCGGGAUCACUCCCAAGGCUUCGUCACUGACCCCCACGCCUGCCUACUCGCCACUGCAUCGUUUCUACAGUGGCGGCGAGGUAUGGGUAGCACGCUUGAGCGCCAUCCAUUUUCAGGGCUAGUUCAUUCGGCAGGUGAGUUGUUACACACUCCUUAGCGGAUUCCAACUUCCAUGGCCACCGUCCUGCUGUCCGGCGGGCUCAGG
rnacentral:rRNA from 1 species